GAUGAAGAACGUAGCGAAAUGCGAUAAGUAAUGUGAAUUGCAGAAUUCAGUGAAUCAUCGAAUCUUUGAACGCACAUUGCGCCCUCUGGUAUUCCGGAGGGCAUGCCUGUUCGAGCGUCAUUUCACCACUCAAGCCUGGCUUGGUAUUGGGCGCCGCGGUGUUCCGCGCGCCUCAAAGUCUCCGGCUGAGCUGUCCGUCUCCAAGCGUUGUGAUUUCAUUAAUCGCUUCGGAGUGCGGGCGGCCGCGGCCGUUAAAUCUUUCACAGGGUUGACCUCGGAUCAGGUAGGGAUACCCGCUGAACUUAAGCAUAUCAAUAAGCGGAGGA
rnacentral:misc_RNA from 1 species